rnacentral:rRNA from 1 species
UACGGGGGGGGCAAGCGUUGUUCGGAAUUACUGGGCGUAAAGGGCGCGUAGGCGGCCUGCUAAGUCGGACGUGAAAUCCCCCGGCUCAACCGGGGAACUGCGUCCGAUACUGGUGGGCUCGAAUCCGGGAGAGGGAUGUGGAAUUCCAGGUGUAGCGGUGAAAUGCGUAGAUAUCUGGAGGAACACCGGUGGCGAAGGCGGCAUCCUGGAUCGGCAUUGACGCUGAGGCGCGAAAGCCAGGGGAGCAAACGGG